UCAGUCGACUCCUACGGGGAGGCAGCAGUGGGGGAAUAUGGACAUGGGGGGAACCCUGAUCCAGCCAUGCCGCGUGUGUGAAGAAGGCCUUAUGGUUGUAAAGCACUUUAAGCGAGGAGGAGGCUACUGAGACUAAUACUCUUGGAUAGUGGACGUUACUCGCAGAUAAGCACCGGCUAACUCUGUGCCAGCAGCCGCGGUAAUACAGAGGGUGCGAGCGUUAAUCGGAUUUACUGGGCGUAAAGCGUGCGUAGGCGGCUUUUAAGUCGGAUGUGAAAUCCCCGAGCUUAACUUGGGAAUUGCAUUCGAUACUGGGAAGCUAGAGUAUGGGAGAGGAUGGUAGAAUUCCAGGUGUAGCGGUGAAAUGCGUAGAGAUCUGGAGGAAUACCGAUGGCGAAGGCAGCCAUCUGGCCUAAUACUGACGCUGAGGUACGAAAGCAUGGGGAGCAAACAGGAUUAGAUACCCUGGUAG
rnacentral:rRNA from 1 species